rnacentral:rRNA from 1 species
AACAAACGCUGGCGGCGUGCCUAAUACAUGCAAGUCGAACGGGGAAAGCUUUCGGGUGAGUACUAGUGGCGCACGGGUGAGUAACGCGUGGAUAAUCUGCCUUAGAGUGGGGGAUAACUAGUCGAAAGAUUAGCUAAUACCGCAUAAGACCACAAGAACUGCGGUUCAAGGGGUCAAAGGUUUUUCGCUCUAAGAUGAGUCCGCGUAAGAUUAGCUAGUUGGUAGGGUAACGGCCUACCAAGGCGACGAUCUUUAACCGGUCUGAGAGGAUGAUCAGUCACACGGGAACUGAGACACGGUCCAGACUCCUACGGGAGGCAGCAGUAGGGAAUAUGGAACAAUGGAGGAAACUCUGAUGCAGCGACGCCGCGUGAGUGAUGAAGGCCUUCGGGUCGUAAAGCUCUGUCGCAGGGGAAUAACACAAUGAAGGUACCCUGUAAGAAAGGAUCGGCUAACUUCGUGCCAGCAGCCGCCGUAACAC